UGGAAUCUUACAAAUAUUCAGAUACCAUCUUUCUUUCUUUACGGCGAUUUAGCAGAUAUGCCAUCAAAUUAAUGUUUUUUUCUUUCUUUCUCAGGAGCUGCAGAGAGAGGUUUACUUACACAUACUCAAUUCUUCUCAUACAUCACUACCUUCACCACCAUCAGUAUCUAUAUAUUCAUCCACUUCUCCUUCUCGGGAAGCAACAACGGUUCAGUGAACCACAACAUUAUCUUCUCAUAGUUGAGCAUGUGCUUACAACAUCUUCAUCUUAUUUUUGUUGAUUUCAGUUGAACAUGAGGGAUUUUCUAGUUAUAUACACCAAUUUCUGGAUUCCAACUAGCCCUUAUAGGAUUCGUGGUGGGCAUUAAAAAAUGUUUACCUGAUGAGGAUCUUUGCUUCCAUCAUUCAAGAAAAAACAAAGUUUCAACAUGUAUCAACACUGCCAUUCUUCUUGCUACUUCUAUGCAUACUCUUGAGUCUUGAGCUUCUUUAUAGAAGAGUCAGCAUCAUACCUUCCAAGCUUCCUAUCUGGCGCAUGCAUAAGUUGGAUUUACGUAAGGCAUCUUCGGAGGAAUCAAGAAACAAGCCUUAGAGGAGCACCAAGCAAUGAUGAUUUCCCCUUUCCUCAUUCUUUCUUGGUGUUAUGCGGUAUAAUUUUCCAUUUUAUGAUGUUUUUUCAUUUGAAAUCAUUAUUUCAUUUUUGUGUUGGUGUACUUAUAUAAAAAUCCUUAUUGAGGAAGCUUUUGUUGGGAAUUUUCAAGUCUUACGGAAUUUUAUUGAUGAUCCUGCUAUUGCUGCACAAACUAAGUACUACUCAAAUGUUUUCCCUCCUAGCAACACUCCUGGGAUAUUUCUACUACUUUUCAAGUAAGAGUCAAUAUUUAGUAUCCUUGAAAUUAUAGAUAUGAGUCAACACAUAUAGGCAGGAUUGAGGUUAGUCUAACCUGUGGUUCUAUAUAGUAAAAAUGAUGGUACAAUUUAUUGAAUAGAUUAAUUAGUUGGUGCGUUUAUAAUAUAGUCUUACAUUUUGAUUCCUCCCCAUGUUUUUUGCACUUGGUGAAGUUGGAUGUCUUACAGACUGGGUACAUAGUGUACACGUGUUUGAUUACAAACAAAACCAUGGCUAAUGUUUUAGAAUUUUAGCAUUAAAAGAUGUUUUUUAUUUUUUUAAGGUUUGGAUUCAGUUGUGUAGUUCAUUUACCGUGUCUUAUCAUUAAACUGAAGUUUCAGGGGUCAAUAAACUCAUUACCUCCAAUUUUCUGUCUCGAAAUUGUUUUGGUUUAUUUAUUAUAGGCUAUGAAGUAUGGGUUUCAUCUUGAGUUGAUUUCUGGCUAGGUUUUAGGCCAUAUUUUGAGUUAUGAAUUGCAUGGGUGUAGUAAGAGACUGUAAAUUUUUGAAUUCAUUUUUUUAGUUUAUAUGUAGGUCAUGAAGUAUGUGUUUUCUCUUGGAUUGAUUUCUGGCUAGAUUUUAGGUCAUAUUUUGAGUUCUGAAUUGCCGGGAUAUGGAAAGAGUCUGUAAAUUUUAUGUGGGAGGAGCCUGUGAGUUUGUUAGUUGUGAAUUGCAGGGACACACAGGACUGGGUACUCUCUGUAACGGGACGGAGAAUUCUUAUAUUAUUGUACUAGCACGAUGUUGAGGACUCUAGACUUAUCUUUCAUCAGUUACCAGUAUCAUCCCUGCGUUUAAAGAAGAGAUCAGCUGCUGCAGAGGAUAGAAAAACAACAAGCAACUCAGAACCAUCCAUUGCCAAUGGGACCUCAAUAUAAAGGGUGCAGUUUGGAAGAAUUGCAUCUUGGAUUCAUGGGUAAACUCUUAGUGGACAAGAGUGACAAAAUUAAAAUAAAGAUCAGAGACAUCCUUUAUAUGUGCACUACUGUCAUUGUAAACUUGGGAUUAUACUAUUCGGGUAAUAUGUGUGCAUGAAGCAGAUGAUCAGGUCAAAUAGAAGAGCACAUGGUUCCCAUGUAGUUGUGGGUUCGACUUCCGCAGAUGGCAAGUCUGACUUCGUUCAAGUCUAAGUUUUUCCAUCGGUUCUGGCUAAUGAAGACGAGGUCGAUGCUUUGUUUCAAAUCCUGAUCCAUUGAUGUCCUAGGUAUAUUUUGAGAUAUAUAAAUAUUCGAUGGCAGUAACAUGUUUUAGUCAUCACCUAGGUAUAAUUUUGAUGGUUACUGCGAUUCCCACCCAGUUGGUCAGAAAUUAUAGAGAAACUUCUACGCUAUCUAUAUUGUUUCGAGGGUUUUGAUUUAACAUUUGUGCUCUCGGGUUGAAAGGAGAUCAUUCGAUGAAAUAAAUCUAGGAAUGAAAUGUAUUUGGUAAAGUUUUUACAUAGAUUGAAUUCUAAAAAGGUUAAUUACUUCAAGUACAUUUAUCUAAUAUUUGAGUAAAUCUGAAAAACUACAAACAACCAAACAAGUUGACAUAUUUGUUGGUGUUAAAUUUCUCGAUGAGCAUGUCAACUCAGUUCUC